UGGGGAAUUUUGGACAAUGGGCGAAAGCCUGAUCCAGCAAUGCCGCGUGUGUGAAGAAGGCCUUCGGGUUGUAAAGCACUUUUGUCCGGAAAGAAAUCCUUGGCUCUAAUACAGUCGGGGGAUGACGGUACCGGAAGAAUAAGCACCGGCUAACUACGUGCCAGCAGCCGCGGUAAUACGUAGGGUGCAAGCGUUAAUCGGAAUUACUGGGCGUAAAGCGUGCGCAGGCGGUUUGCUAAGACCGAUGUGAAAUCCCCGGGCUCAACCUGGGAACUGCAUUGGUGACUGGCAGGCUAGAGUAUGGCAGAGGGGGGUAGAAUUCCACGUGUAGCAGUGAAAUGCGUNGNAGAUGUGGAGGAAUACCGAUGGCGAAGGCAGCCCCCUGGGCCAAUACUGACGCUCAUGCACGAAAGCGUGGGGAGNAAAACAAGGACUUGAGAUACCCUGGUAGUCCACGCCCU
rnacentral:rRNA from 1 species